GGGUGAGGGAGCCCAGCCAGUCAGUUUGCCAGCCCUUGCUGCUGGGAAUGGAUUGACAAGUGGGUGCUGCCCUGGUCUUUCUUGUGCUUGCUGUGUGCCGUGCCUGCCUGGGAGCUGAGUGCCCAGUGCUGAAGGGUAGCCUUUCUGCCAUGCAAGCCUGGCAGUGACUGUUGCUGCCACUGCAGCCUCCCAAGGUAAGGUGCUGGCUUCACAUUCAACUUUGGCCUCCUUUGGGCCACUAAGGCUGGGGCAUCCUCUUCCCUGGCCCCUGUGGGGCAGUGUGAGGAAGCGCCUCUCUUUGGGGCAGGGGGGGGGGGACACAGCUCAGAGACCAGGGGUGGCAGCAGCGGCUGCCCAGAGGACUCCCAAGGAGAGGGGAGAGGAGAGGAGGCUGAGGGAACACUCCACAAGGGGGAAUGUUUGGUAAAGGGUGAGAGGCUGCCAGGCAAGGGGUGACAUAACUGGACUCCUGAGCCCCACAGGUGUGCUGCAGAAAGAAUGUAGUUGGUCAAGGAGCCAUGGAUUUAAAAAGGUUGAAAACCACUGAUAUAGACCAAUAUUUGAGUAGAGCAGGGAAUCUCUUAAUGAGUAUAUAUACUUGAAAAAAGAGAAAGGGGUGAAUGCGUAUCCACCUACAAAUAGAAAACUCUUGCCAAAAAUGUUCUAGCUAUUGUCCUUUGGAAAUACUUUUUCUGCAAUGUGGUAUUCUGCAUUCCAUUCAGUUGCUCCUCCCUGUUUUCCAUGUUUUCUCUCAAUAGCCAGACAGCAUUCUGUAACUACUGAGCAUGCUCAUUCCUGUUUGGUUUGUUUCUGGCAUUUUUUUCUGGUUUCAAAUCACCUAUCUGUAAGGCUCGUGUAGUGGUUAGAGUGUUGGACCAGGACCUGGGAGACCAGAGUUGAAGUCCCCACUCAGCUAUGAAGCUCACUGGGCCAGUUACCAUCUCACAGCCUAACCUACCUCACAGGGUUGCUGUGGGGAUUAAAUGAGGAGGGGAAGUAUUGUGUAUACCACCUUGAGCUCCCUGGACAAAAGGUGGGCUAUACAUGCAAUAAAUAAAUAUUAACCAGAAGUAGAAAUGAUAGAAGUUAAAUUUGCAGCAAAGUAGGUGGGUGGGUGGUUAGUGUGCAUUCACACUAACAAAUAUGCAUUUUCAACAUUUCAUCAAAAUUAUAAGGAAAGUUCAUAGAAUGCUCUCUCUCCAGGGAGGUACAGUAUGCCUAGCACCGUCUGUUUCUAUUUUAAAAUGCCAGGUAAAUACUUUUCUCUUUACUCAGGCUUUUGGCCCUUAAUUUGAAGGGUAGCAUUGUGGUCUCCUUUAGUAGAGUAUAAUCUGCCUUUUAUCUGUAUAGCUGUGUUUUUAGAUAUUUAUUGGGUGUUCUUAAUUGGUUAUAAUGUAUGUUGCUUUGGGUCCCUCUGUGAGUAAAGUGGCUAAUAAAUAUCAGCCUCAGCAUCAUCAGCAUCAUCUAAAGCUGCAGUACUGUACACAUUUACUCGGGAGUAAGCCCCAUUGAACUCAGUGGAACCUACUUCUCAGUAGGCACACCAGACUCCUGCUUCAGUGCCAAUUAUUUUUAUUGAUUUUCCAAUAUAAACCCAAUUACACAGAUUAGUUCCAAAUUAAUACACUUUUGUUAAGAGACUUCCCGCGUACCAUUCCUGAUGGAUCUUUAUGAUCUAAUAAUACUGUGUUUCAUAUUCUUAUUUAUUUCUAUUACAUUCAAUUUUUCAAAAAUUAUCACAUAAUUAACAGCUGCACUCCUAAUGAUUUCUAUUCAUGUUAUUAUAUUAUUUAACUUCCAAAAAAAAGGCUUCAAGUGAGGAACCAUAGCUUUUUUGGAUGUGCUACAUCCAAAAGUCAAUUAUUAGUCUCUUGGCCUUACAUGUCUCUCCUUUUUCCUGCGGCCUUUGAGGCUAUCUCCUUACGCCCACUGUUGUAUUCCAGCCUAGUUGGGGCAGAGCUGCAACUUCAAGGUUAAACCCUCUUCUUUCUCUGGCUCAGCUCCUUCCCAUAAUACUCAAGCAGUUCCAAAUCGACAACAGACGAUGCCUCCCUUCUACUGACACUGAGAAUCUACAAGUUCCAGAGAUUUGCCAUGUCUGCCUCUGGCUCAGAAGGGACAGUACUAUUCUUCUUCCAACAUCCAAAAAGCCCUCACACCACUUUCCUUUCGCUGCUACCAUAGCAUUUUGCUUUAAAAGCAACAACAACCCAGGUUAUAUCUCAACAUCUCCAUGAUCUCUUUCAAUCUUUUUUUCGGGGGGGGGGGGGAGGCUCUAACUCCCCACAACAUCCUGCCAAACAAAACAACCAGGUUCUCCCCCCCCCUUUACUCCUUUCAAGCCGCACACAGCUUUGCAUCUUCUUUUAACUCUCAAUGUUACAUUGUACAUCAAAACAUCCUCACUUGUAUAUCUUAAAAUUCAGUAUUAGGAGAGGGUUGCCGAAUCAUAAAUGUAAAAACUUCCGUAAAAUAUAGCAGAGAGGGCCCCUCCUCCUCCAUCCACCUCCAGUACAGGAUAAAAUCUUCUCCCAAUUUCAAAUCUCAGUUCCAUGCAGCUGAUUGAUUGCAGUUACAACCUCCAUCGCCUCCGGUGCAUGCCUAUUCUUAAUGCCAUUUAAAACCCAACUAUAAGGAGAACUUCUGCAUCCAAUGGCAAUUUUGAGGGGGGGGGGUUUCGCAUCAAGCAAAGUGUGUAGCACCCAGUGCCUCCAUCUGUCCCCAUGCUGAUCCGUGAGGGGGCGAGCCAUUUAGGCGACCACCAGUACCUCCCAUGCCCAUUAUAAGGGAUGGUUUAACCCCUUCCACCCCCUUUUUCAGCCUCCAAUGUUGAGAGAGCCAUCCCCAUGUCACGGGACAGGAACCGGAAGCCUGCUUCAAAUUGUUUUUCACAGUUUUCAAUAAAAGCAUUCCGAUUUAUAAUGAAGUUGCCACAUCUUUGUCUCAUUUAUUUUGUUGUAAUGUGAUGUGUUAGUUGGACCAUAAGGGUUCAAAACUAGUUGUUUGGUGUGUGGGUGUGAAGAGUAGUUGGGCCCUAAUGAAAGCCACUAGCCCUAUCCCUGACGCUCCACCUACAACCUUCUGAAAAAGGAUGUAAAUAAUAAUAAUAAUAAUAAAGUAGGAGAAUUAGGCUCCUCUACUCCACUCCCCACAAAUGAGAAUUCUAGCACUGAACCAUACAUAGCUUGGAGCUCAGCUCAAUAAAUACAAGAGGCAUGAAGAAUUGGACUGAAAUUCAUUGAAAUAUUUCAGAGCAGAGGUUUCCAGACGGUGGUCUGUGAACUUCAUUCAGAUAAUCUGUUGCAUGUCCAUGGAUUUGUGGUUAACAAUGGAAGACAGCACAUCCAUCAAAUUGAAUACUGAUACUGAUUAUUCAGUGUACUUUUAUUGCUUCUUUUAUUUCUUACAUUGUAUUUCAUUGAAUUACAAAUUGAAUUCUAUGCUAUUACAGGCAGAAAAACCAAGUGGUUCACUUGGAGUCUUAGACCCUCAGCAAUUUUCAAGUGGUCCAUGGGCAAAAAUAUUUGGGAGCCACUGCCCCAGAACCAAAAGCACUUUAGCUAUGAACCAUGAAGCCCCUGACUCAGAUCUGACCUGUGACAUACAGUAGGAAGAUUACAAUUUAUCAGCCUCAAGACCCCCACCCUUAUCUGCAACAUGUCAUAUAAAAAUGAUAGCCCACCUUUCAAGGUUGUUGUCAUCAAGAUAAAUGUCGCAGAAGUGCUUUGGACAUGCAAAGGUAAAGGUAAAGGGACCCCUGACCAUUAGGUCCAGUCGUGACCGACUCUGGGGUUGCGGCGCUCAUCUUGCUUUAUUGGCCAAGGGAGCUGGCGUACAGCUUCCGGGUCAUGUGGCCUGCAUGACUAAGCUGCUUCUGGCGAACCAGAGCAACUCACGGAAACGCCGUUUACCUUCCUGCUGCAGCGGUAACUAUUUAUCUGCUUGCACUUUGAGGUGCUUUUGAACUGCUAGGUUGGCAGGAGCAGGGACCGAGCAACGGGAGCUCACCCCAUCACGGGUAUUUGAACCGCUGACCUUCUGAUCAGCAAGUCCUAGGCUCUGUGGUUUAACCCACAGUGCCACCCGCGUCCCUUGGACAUGCAAAAGCACGGUACAAUGCUGACCAUUAUCCGACUUUUGCCACUCUCACGGUUUCCAUGCUUUCACAUUGUGAUGUGAUGCUUAUCAUUCCUUUCACCAUGGCACAGACUCCUUUCAUCUCAAGGACUCUGUCCUAAGUUUGGGAACCUGAUAAUUUCCUCAGUUUUUUUAAAAAAAUAAAUCUCUCCCUCCUUCAAGAUAAAGUGACUCAUAAGAAUAAUUGAGGUGGAGUCCUUGAAACAAGGAGUGUAAACGAUUAUGAAGGGAAGGUCAGUGUACUUGUCUUUCAAGCCUGAGCAUGCCCCACUGCUGAUGGCACAUAAACAAUACUCAUUAGAUGCCUGUGGUUGUGGAUGAAUGGCUAAUGCACUCCAAAGCUUCAUCACACUUUGCUGAAUGGCAACAUUUGGCCUCAAUGCAGAGUCGCCAUCACAGACUGUUUAGUUGGCUGAGUGGGCUCAGGCCAGUAGCCCAUCUAGUCCAGCAUCCUGUUCUCACAGUGGCCAACCAGAUGGUUAUGGGAAACCUACAAUCGGGACCUGAGCAAAAGAGCACUCUGCCCUCCUGCAGUUUCCUGAAACUGGGUUUCAGAAGCAUUGCUGCCUCUGACCAAAGGAUAGCCAGCAUGCCUAGUAGCCUUAUCCUUCAUAAAUUGGUCUAAUCAUCUUUUAAAGCCAUCCAAGUUGCCUCCUGUGGGAGAGAGUUCCAUAGUUUAACUAUGCACUGUGUCCUUCGGUGGUUCUGCUCCAGAGUCAUUUCUAGAAGGUAUUUAUGGCAGGGGUAUUCUCCAGUGCCAUGGAAAUUGUCCUGUACAGUGGUACCUCAGGUUACAUACGCUUCAGGUUACAGACUCCGCUAACCCAGAAAUAGUGUUUUAGGUUAAGAACUUUGCUUUAGGAUGAGAAGAGAAAUCGUGCUCCGGCGGCAUGGCAGCAGCAGGAGGUCCCAUUAGCUAAAGUGGUGCUUCAGGUUAAGAACAGUUUCAGGUUAAGAACAGACCUUCGGAACGAAUUAAGUACUUAACCCGAGGUACCACUAUAGUGUCCUGCAGGGUUCCAUCUUGCCUCCCCAUGUGAAGCCACUGUGAGCUGCAAUUGGGAGAUAUGAAGUGAAGCGUCACCAAUAUGCAGAUGGCACCCAACUCUUUCUCUCUGUUCCAUCUGAACUGAGAGAGGUACUUGAUGUGCCAUGGAGGCAGAGCACAGCUGCCAUGCAAAUAUCCAGGGGGCAGUUAGAAUGGAAAAGAAGUAUCUGUUGUAUUCAACGUAUGUAUCUUUGGAAUAUAUUUUAGGGCACUUGGUUAAAGAGAAACAAACAAGGUAUUAGGUGAAAGUAUAACAACAUGCAGGUUUGCAGGGGGAAUUGCGCUUUUGCCAAUUUGCCUCAAUUUGCCUCAGUUUUGUGAUAUAGUUCAUAAUAUGGAAUUCAAACACCAGCUUGACCUCUGUGCUCAUUAUUUUUCAAGGGAGGAAAGAGGCAAGGCAUGUUGCAAUGCAAUAUCUAGGCCUCCCAACUGUUGGGCUUUAUUAAUAUGAACUUUGUAAGAAUACUUCAGUGAGACUGUUUGGAGUCAAAUCCAGUUGAUUAGAAAGGGCUCCUUGUUUAGUCAUAAUCUGAAGCUAGCUUGCUUACAUAAGCAUUAAUUAAAAAUAUAUCUGCCUUUGUGUGUCAUCAGAUGAUGACGAGUUCCUCACCAGACUCUGAUCUGACAAAGAUCAAUAUUGGAUGGCUUUGAAGAAUUAAAGCUAGAUCAGGUUGACUCUCCUUUCUGUCAACUUUAUGGAAUAUUCCAAUGGAUUAACUCUCUGUUUUGUAACGAAGGACUAUGGGUGGGGAGCCAGUGUGGUGCAGUGGUCAGAGUGCUGGAUUAGGACCUGGGCGAGACCAAAUCUUCACUCAGCCACGAAAGUCCCUGGGUGACCCUAUGGCAGUCACUCACUCUCAGCCCAACAGUCACAGGACUGUUGCAAGGAUAAAAUGGGGAAGAGAACUACGUAGGCCACCUUUGCAACUACAGUUCUGAGACACAUCUCAAGUGGCUCUCUGACCUAUGAAGACAAAGUGGACAUCUUUAAGGUACUACAAGAUUAUUGUCUGUGUGUGUAAGAAGAAAGACAAGUUUCCUUGGCUACACAUCACUCCUCGGCAUGGAUUGUUAGCACUUUUAAUCUUAUUCCAGCGACGCCUGUUCCAGAGUCACCUCCCACAAAUUAAAAACGUAAUCCAUCCAGCACAGACGUCACCAAUAGCCCCUGCACCUCCCUACUGCAUGAUAUAUAACCAACAGUUUGGAUGAGCUGAAUAAAUUGUGUCUUACAUAGCUUUCCAAACUCUGGCAUAACUUGUAACUUUUCCCCUGAGUUCCAGAGCACUGCACUGGAGCUAAAACUGAGUACUAGCCUCCUAAUGCAGUAGAACAAAGUGGAAGAGUCCUUUGUGGUAGAACGUGCAGCUUCAGACUGAAGUUGAGAAGAACCUUACAUUUUAGUGCAAAAACAAAACACAAACAAAAAAGAACCUCUAAGUGAAAAAUCACUUAGGUAUGGUCCAGAACCUUCUUGCUCUAGUUUUCCAACUAGCUUUCUGCUUGCAAGAUUUUUCUGGUGGGGAGGAUUCAAAAUAACACCCCCUCUAUACACAUGCAGUCUCAUCACGAAGAACUCCCCUGGUAUCUCCCACAUUGCAUUCCCCCCCCCCAAAGGAAGGAGAUAUAGGAACAAGAGAGAGGGCAGAAUAAAGGUGCAGAUCUGCAUGACAUUACAUAGAGCAUACAUAGAGAUGCAAAUUUAGAAAUACUACAGUUUGAAUAAAAACACAAUACCAUCUCACUGUGACCUGUCUGCCUGCUUGGUCCACUGUUCAGGUGCUGCUCUUGGGCAACUUCAAGCCCCUGCACCCCACCUGCUCUUAUUUUUGGGGCAUUUAUCUUUGGACUUGGACCCAACAGCCCUUCAGAGAACUCCUUCACAGGACUCUCCUCUGUAAAAUAGCUAAGUGACUGAGCUAAAAGUAGGGCUGUGUGCAGUCCUCCUGAACUGGGGCCACCCAGGGGCCACCGGCCUCACACCUGGUCCUAAAUCCAUUUGGGGGCAGAGCUGUUUAAGCAGAGUUUUAUGAAUGAAGGUUGCACAGGAAAAAUUCUGGUGUUUGUGGCCCUUGACCUGGUGGGUACGCCAGAGCUAUACAUGGAGUAGGAGCUGAGCCAGGAAGAAAUGGAGCAAAAGAACUGCUGGUUACUGAGCUCCAGAGGGAACUCUUAACUCAGGAAAGGUCCAGAGGUGUCUGGGAGACUUAGGCAACAACAGCCAGUUCUUGCCCUGCCUUCUCUCUUCUGUAUAACUAUGUGCAGCUUGGUCUUCUCCAUCCUGGAGAGAGUCACUUGGCAGCCACAUGGGUGCUCCAGGUUUCGUGCCAGGUUCAUUGCUGCUGCCACUCUUGAGACUUACAUGGACAAUGGGGAAGACUAAGGGAUCAAGGCAGGGAUCAAGAUGGAGUCAAAAAGGUUCUUGUGGGGACCAGGCAAAGAACCCCCCAAGUGGGCUUUUGUUCCAGCUGCCUUUGGCCUCCUGUAAGUCCCCCUGGACUGGACUUCUCUGCAGGGACCAAAGCCCUUUCCUCCAAGGAGGUCUCCCUAGCAAUUUGGGCCAGAUGACUUGGGAGCUCAUGUUAUCUCCAAGGCACUUCUGUGGCAUUUGUAGUGAGAAAUGGUGGUCUCACUGUUUUAGGCCACACCUCAGCUCUGAACUUUAUUUUUAAAACUUUAUUGAAAUUUUAUUUUUAUUUUUCACUCGAGGUAACACAACAUGGCUCCCUCUCUCCUGCUGCUGGGUAUUAUUAGCCACAACAAUUAAUCCCCAUUUGCAGGAUGUUGAUGUAAUAUCAUAAAUACCAAUCUCUUGUGUUUAUGUAGCAUUGUGUUUACUUGGGCAAGCUGCCACCCACACUAAAGAAAUAAACAAAGAGUCAGUCUUUGUGGAGAGGGAAAGCUUUGUGGGGGGUUUUCACAGUCCUCUCUCCCUUCAUAAGGCACUCCUUGUUAUAUUGCUGAAAGUGGCUCUUUAAGAUAUCCAGUUUUGAUAAACCAUGCAAUUUCUGGGAGAGUUAAUUGGAGUACCUACGAAACAGGAUUCCCCCCCCCUCCAGGUUGUUUUAAAAAAUAAAGGCCUAACUUGGAAAAACUUUGCGGAAGGAAAAUGUUGGGCUCAUAAAGGAUAAGGAAUGUGGAGUGUCUCUUCUGACUGCUGCAACCCAAUCCAAAUCUACUUUACCUGUGUGGUUGGUGGAAUUACAAAGAAGGCUGGAAGUUGGACAGGGCUUCACAUUCCACUGGAGCCACAUGGAAAGCCUCCGUUAGCUUCAGUUACCCAGCUUUGCCUAGUGCCGUUCCAGUUAAAGUACUUGCUGGCCAAGGGAGUAAAAUAUGCCCUGCAUUUGUUAGAAAGCACAUAGUUAAGCUGUGGAACUCACUCCCACAGGAGGCAGUGAUGGCCGCCAACUUGGAUGGCUUUAAAAGAGGAUUAGACAGAUUCAUGGAGGACAAGGCUAUCAACGGCUCCUAGCCACGAUGGCUAUGCUCUGCCUCUGCAUUUGCUAUCACGUGACCCCAUAAUCCAAUUUGCAAAGGCUGCCUCUUGUACAAGUGCAGUCUUGGCUAUAUGGAAUAACUGGUGGUAUUUGACAAAGCGUGUUCUCCAUAACAGAGAGCACGUGUUGCGGUGGGGGCCUAAAGGCCACCCCACUGUUGUUGGGCAAAUUGGCCACUUACUGUGAUUGGGCAAAGAGUGUUGCUGGGGAGAAUGUUAUGUUGCUAAAUGGUGGGAGGGGUCAGAGGUCUUAAAUACAGGGCUCACAGCCUGGGGCCUUCUCUUGGGCUGCGUGCACCGGAUCACCCGCCCACCCUCCCUGAAAAGGGGGGGUUCGUUGUCCUCUGACCUUGCUAUGCCUGUCAUGGGGUCAUCUGCCUUGGGGCAGGAGCCUGGUAGGAAUUUUGUCCAUUUGGCUGAUUGGCUGUUGCCAUUUGGUUUUUGCCUACUGCAUAGCAAAUCGUCACAACUUGUAAGGUUGGCGGUUAGGCAUUGGUUCAAAUUGGUUGGUGGAGAGUUAAGUGCCUACCCCUCCAAUGGUGGUGCGGAAAGGGAAUUCCGUUAAAGGAAUCCAGGGGCUUGCCAUUCUUUUCGUCCUUGUCCCUGGCAUCGGACUUGGGCCGUGCAAGCCACCAGGAGCAUGAGGGUGAGGGACUGAGGCCCAGCUUCAUUUUCUCCCCAACAUUGUUUCCCUCACUGGCUUCCGCUGGAAUCCAGAAGUCAGUUCUGUCCCAGGGGCAAGGACAGAUAGUCGUAACCAAUGCCUAAGAACCACUCACGUGUGUGUAUUUAAAUAAAGUUGUGGCCAAAUUCAUGCCAAAAACCUUAAACAAAUAUUGAUGUGCGAAGUGUGAGUUAUUUGGGGUGGCCUGGGGGACCUCGAUGCACAACCUACUUUUCAUACAAAAUUGAAGUAAAAUUAACAAAACAUCAAUGGAAACAAUAAUAGAUGGUCAUUUACAAUAUUUCAUUCCAACUGCUAAUUGGCACAAGUUGUCAGAUGUUAUGUUCUCUCUAUCCAAAACACUUCCAUCUGCCCAAUUUAUUACUACAGGCAAUUUAAAUGUGUGGAUUGGGGCCAACAGCCAAAAUAUUGUAUCCCAAUUGGGCUUUGAAGGAAUAGAUAUAAUACCUACCCCGCUGUCUGUUCCCCACUCCUCUAAGGAUAGAUUAACUAACAGAGUGGGGUUAAAACUUAUGGAAUUUUGUAUUGUCCAUAAUGUAGUUAUUUUAAAUGGACUGGGGUCAAACCAUCGCUAGAGGUGUUGAAAUUUUGGGAGGCUGGAUAGUUACAAUGGAAUGGUCUCGAUGGUGGGGUGCACAUCUUUAUUCCUAUUUAUUUAUGAUUAUUACUUUGUCAAAAUAAAAUAAAAGCUAAAUCUAAAGUUGCCUGAUUUAGUCACUGGUGGCUAUCUAGUCUUUUAUAUAUUGAAUGUGUUUGGAUUAUCAGUGUAUUUGGAUGACUUUGUAUGAUUUUAUGAUUUUAUGACUGUUUUAACAUGCCAAAAAAGCUAGUAGUAGUAAUAUUUCACUAGUCACUGAUCUGCAUUUUGACCCAACAUAAAAUAAAGAAAAAAAUAAUUCAGCUGGUUAACAAGAGGGCCUUAUAAUGCAUUUGAAGGCCCCAGGCUACAUCCUUUAAAAAAGAAAGGUCAUAGCACAUAUCUUAAAGGAAGAUGCAGAGCACUUGCUUUCUGCUCCCCUUUCCAGCCACUUCCAGAUCGCUGUGAUGCGCACAUAUGCAGUUGUAUGUCAAUCGGAUGUGCAUAAAUCAGUCACUGCCUGUAUCUAUCUAUAACCCACCCUUCACCCCAGGGAGGAUUACAGCAUUAAAAUGCAACACGAAAAGCAGAUUAACUUCAUUUGAUACAUGACAGGCCCUGUCAUCUGAAGGCAGCAGUCUUGUGAGUAUGUGUCACCAACUGGGAUUUUUAGCUGACCCAAUGUGGUCACUGAUGUUUGCUGGCCCAGCCACAGUUGUCCUGCUCUUAAUCUUCUCCAACAGCCAGACAACUCACUUAGCAGGCACAUGCUUUGCAACCAAUGACAAUGACAUAGCAAGUUCAGGAAACACAGGAGGUCAAGACUGCUGUGGUCAGUACCCAACUGUUGGGAAGAUGUUUGGCCCCUUUAUGUGUAUUCUCCACAUGCAGGUCUGCAAAUAAUCUUAAGGUUUGUUUAGCUAGUCAAGCUUGUACUUGCUCCUGUGUUAAGGAUUUAUUGGGAAAGUGAGUAAAUACAAUUGUUGUGGUAACAGCCUCGAUGUAUAUCAGAGAUCUUUGCCUUGGACUGGGUUCUGUUUACAUUGCUGUUGUUAAGGGGUCAUGUCUGCUUCUCAGAGAGAAACUUUGCGUUCAAGGGGCAUUGUUCAUUUCCCCAAACCUGGUGCAAGUGCUCAGUCCAUGAAGGAAUGUAAAUGAAGGGAGGGGCCACAGACAGAGGGAAGCCAGAAUGCCACACAAAAUACCCUUGGUACCUUUUUUUUUUUAAAAAAGGAUUGGGGUUUGAAUCCCUUGGCUUGCUGAUGAGCUAGUCUAUUCCUCUUGUAAAAAGGUAAAGGGACCCCUGACCAUUAGGUCCAGUCAUGACCGACUCUGGGGUUGUGGCGCUCAUCUCACUUUACUGGCCGAGGGAGCCGUUGUACAGCUUCCGGGUCAUGUGGCUAGCAUGACUAAGCUGCUUCUGGCGAACCAGAGCAGCACACGGAAACACUGUUUACCUUCCCGCCAGAGUGGUACCUAUUUAUCUACUUGCACCUUGAUGUGCUUUCGAACUGCUAGGUUGGCAGGAGCAGGGACUGAGCAACGGGAGCUCACCCUGUCGCAGGGAUUCGAACUGCCGACCUUCUGAUCGGCAAGUCCUAGGCUCUGUGGUUUAACCCACAGCGCCCAGCAAAAACCACAAAAAUGAGGCAUUUCGGGGGCAGGGGAGGAAUGGGUUAGGGGCUACUGGGCCUAAACCUCCAUCAGACUUUGUGCAAACAAAUCAGAAUGCAUGUUGAAUAAACUGAUUGUCAGAAAGCAACCCAGGAUAGCAAAUAAAAGGGUUCUCAGGAACUGCAUUUCUGAAGUCACCCACACUAUCACCACUAUCUGAAAGAAGCUGAAGGCUGGAAGAUUCAGAACACAGAAAAGAAAUGAUUUCUUCAUGCAGCACAUAGUUAAACUAUGGAACUCACUUCCACAGGAGGCAGAGAUGGCCACCCACCCAGAUGGCUUUAAAAGAUGAUUAGACAAUUUGAUGGAGUUGAGGACUAUCCAUGGUUAGUUGCCAUGAUAGCUGUGCUGUGCCGCCACAGUUGGAGGCAGCAAUGCUUCUGAAUACCACUUUCUAGAAACCACAGCAGGAGAGCAUGCUCUUGUGUCUGUGUCCUGCUUGCAGGUCUCCCAUAGGCAUUUGGUUGGCCGCUGUGAGAAGAGGAUGCUGGACUAAGUGGGUUGUUGAUCUGACCUAGCAGGCUCGUCUUAUGUUACGUAAAGUGUGACUGUCCUGGUAAACAGAAACAGCUCAAAUAUAUGUCAUUUGGGAUUUGGGAUUUGAAUGUACAUGAGCUCUCAAAACACCACCAUCAUGUUCCUCCUUAAAUCUCAUCUUACACAAAGAUCUUCUUUGUGGUGGCUAGAAUAAGCAUCACUAUAGUGGAUUACACCCUGGGAGAGGAUUGGUGCAGACAAAUAUGGACAGUGUAGUUGAUGGAGAAACUAACAAACCAAAUUAAAGCACAAAGACACUUUUCAGGAAGAGAAGGCUUCUUUACUUGCCUCUAUUUCACAAAAGGAACAAGGCUGGACGAGCCACGACACUGGACCACAGGCUCUGGGGAUAUGUUCCAGCUGCACAAAACCAUUGCUCAGUUAGCUGUGGUAGGAUACACUGGAUUAGACUGGACACAACUGACAUAAGUUACAUAUAUCACAGUGAAACCUACUGGGAUGUCUAAAUUGCAUUGUAACAUAACUGCCCUAUUUAUUUUUGUUAAUGUUACUGUCAUUAGAAAACUAAUAAAAUGUUGUUAUUGUUGUUUUUAAACUCUUCUUGCAAAGUUUCCCCUUUGUCAUUCCUGUGACCGUGACCCAUUCCCCUUCUGCCCCCCACAUACUAUCAGCUACCUUGGCAAACAAAUGUUCACCCAGCAGAGACUCAGUUACAAAGCCCAGCUUCAAACAUGUUGAGCAACUCACAUACCAAGCAUACUCUAGAAUACCCCCAAAUCCUGAGAGGGAGGAGUGUGCAAAAUGUCCCAGACUUCUCGAACUCAGGAACUACGCUUCCCAUAAUCCCUUGAGACCCACAUUAGCUGAGUGUGCUCAAACUUUCUCAUAAAAGUCCCAUUGUUCCUACAGCUCAGCCUUCACCACGAGCCACGACACUGGACCACAGCCUCUGGGGAUAUGUUCCAGCUGCACAAAACCAGUGUCUCCAAACAAUGGAAGAAUGUCCUAGCCCAGACGCCGACAUUCUGACCUACCAUGUCAAGCCGACUCUGUUUUCUCUUAACCUUUGGGGGAACCUUUCUGAAAACACCCAAUAAUUUCACCUUUCACCUACUAGCCACUUAAAAGUUUCAGCCCCAGUUAAUGUCUGAGUGGAUACUCUGUUUGCAAUCAGAACCCCUUUGGGCACAUAGAUGUGACCUGUACAACAGUGUUUAGCUGUUGUCAUUAUUUCUGAAUGCCAGAUCCACAGUAAUAAUAUGAACAUGUGGUGAUGAAAACAAAAUAAUUUAAAAUGAAAAAAACAAAAUCCAAAUGGAAGUUCAAAUGCAGUAACAUUAGUAGCACAUGAUAUUCACAUACAUAGAAUAGAAUCAUAGAACUGCAGAGCUGAAAAGGACCCCAAGGGUCAUCUAGUUUAACUUCCUGCAACGCAGUAAUCUCAACUAAAGCAUCCAUGACAGAUGGGCAUCCAACUUCUGCUUAAAAACUUCAAAUGAAGGAGAGUUCAACACCUUCUGAGGGAGUCCAUUCCACUGUUGAACAGCUCUUGCCGUCAGAAAGUUCUUCCUGAUGUUUAGUCAGAACCCCUUUUCUUGUAACUUGAAUCCAGUGGUUUGAGUCCUGCCCUCCAGAGCAGGAAAAAACAAGCUUGCUCCAUCUUCUGUGUAACAGCCCUUUGGGUAUUUGAAGAUCUUUAUCCUAUCUCCUCUCAGUUUCUUCUUUUCCAGGCUAAGCAUACCCAACUUCUUCAACUGUCCCUCAUAAGGCUUGGUUUCCAGACCCUUGAGCCUCUUGGUCACCCUCCUCUGCACAUGCUCCACAUUCUCAAUUUAAAUGAUCAAGCGUUCCAAAAAGACUGGAGUAAAUUUAUACAAUAUUUGAAGGAUCAUUGUAAACAACUAAGAACUCUAGCAGGGUUGUAAGAAGACUUGUAAUGACAAUUGUUAUUACCUUUUUAUAUUUAUUUAUAAGUUGGGAUUUUUUAUUUAGUGAAACAUAAAUUGGAAAAUAUACAAAUGCUAUGAUGUAUAAUAUUAAUGUUGAAAACCAAAAGGCAGGAGGGAGGGAAGUCGACAAGCUCAUAAGAGCAAAAGUAUAAAGUGGAUAAUAAGAAUGUGUCAUAAUUGUUAUAAAAUGGAAACUUAAUAAUAAUAUUAGGUCCCUUAUCUUAUAUUUGCACAGCUGGCUCUUCCUGGCUAACUGUAGAACCUUACAUUUGCCCCUAGAAAAAUCCAUUUUGUUGAUUUUGGCCCAUUCUCCAAUCUGUUAAAGUCUUCUUGAAUUCCAAUUCUGUCUUCUGCAGCAUUAGCUACCCCUCCCAGUUUGGUGUCAACUGCAGAUUGGAUGAGCAUCCCUUCAAUUCCUUCAUCUAAAACAUUUAUAAAGAUGUUGAACAAUCACUGGCCAAGGAGGGAGCCCUGAGGCACCCCACUUACCACUUUGUUCCAGAAUGAGGAGGAACCAUUAGUUAUCACUCUUUGGGUUUGGUCAGUCAACCAGCUAAAAAUCCACCUAAUAGUUACCUUGUCCAGCCCACAUUUUACCAGCUUCUCAGCAAUACUAUCAUGAGGAAUUUUGUCAAAAGCCAUACUGAAAUCAAAAUACACUAUGUCCACAAUAUUCCCCUGAUCCACCGAGCUUGUAACUAUAUUUAAAAAAUGAGAUUCUUCUGGCAUGACUUGUUUUUGAGAAACCCAUGCUGGUAAUCACAGCAUCCUUUUCAAAGUACUCUCAGAAUGACUAUUUAGUUUUGCGUACUAGGACCUUUUCUGUUAUUGACGUCAAGCUCACCAGUCAGUAGUUACCUGGGUCUUCUCCCCCCCUUUUGAAGAUGGGGACAACAUGUGCCCACCUCCAGUCUUUAGGGACCUCACCUGUUCUCUGAGAGUUCUCAAAGAUUAUAGACAGAGGCUCUGAGAUUAUAUCAGGGGAGGGAUAUUUUCAGGAAAGUGAGGGGAAUUUUGCCUAAGCCUUAAAUUAUCUGGCAAGCAGAACAAGAACUUGGGUCAUAAAUUAAGCUCUAAACAUUGCCUUUUGGAAUACUUAAAUGCUCUGUAAACAAUACAGUGUGGUUGAAACCUACAAUCAUUACUGGUACUUCCACAGAACCACCAUACCCAAAACACUCUCUCCUUAUUUUGAGAAGACAGUAGGUAGAACAGUUGGAAUUAUGCUUCCUGUUAAGUCCUGCCUUUCUCCCUACAGCCAUUUUUCUUUUUCUUUUUUAAUGGUGUCUAUGUGAGAAUUUUUACGAAGAGUCAUAUAUCAUAGAGGUGCUCCUAGGAAAGUAAUCAGCAACAUUUUAGAGGAUGGGGGCAGAGAUAAGGGAGUUAUGAUUUUUAAAAGCUGCCUCAGGCUUGAGCUCUGCUCAGUUGACACAAAAUGUCAGAGAAACCAAGUGCAUAGUUGAUUUGAUGGGAGUGGAUGCGUGAGCAGGUGGCCCAGAGGCAAAAGGCCUUGAAUGUCCAGCACUUCCCAAGCAAGAGCACCAUGAGAUGAUCAAGCAAAGGGCACAAGACAGAUAAGAACAAGGCAACAUCAUUGCUUCAACAUCCUGUUUCCAAGGCACUGUGGCUAGGAAGUCCUGCUAAAGCCAAUCCCUUUGCUCAGAUGCUAGACCUGUCAACUACAUAAAAUCUCCCCACCUCUCUCCCCACUCUGACAUUUUCCAAGCUUGGGAGUUUCCAGGUUUUGCAGGAACCUGUCUGUAGUAUUUUCCCAACGUCUUCUAUUUCUUAAGUGCUCUGAAGCACUUCUGUUUUGGACGAGGGUGCGUUAGGGAGAUUCUGCUUUGGCUUGGACAAGAAACACUUUUGGUUCUUGAUCCAGGAUUCAUUUGAAUAUUUCACAUAUUCCUGGUUUAUUUGUGUUAUACACAACCAACAUCUCCAAGUGGUGAGAGACUCUGGGGUUCCAGGCUCAGUUUCAGUUCCAGGCUCAGUUUCCUCGGAAUGAAGAGUCUGUGAUUAGUGGAGGAUAUAUGAUUUUAUUUACACAUAUACACAACCUGAGAAUAGGAGGGAGGGGCUGACAGCAUCCACACCCCCAAAGACCUUGAUUCUCCAUUAAUAAGAUAUUUGGAUCCUUCACAGAGCAAGCAUGUCUCUGUGUCUCCAGCUUCCAGCCUAUUUCUCGCCCUGCUUACACACAACUCUCUGGCUUUUGCUCUCUUAACUAACAGCAACAUGAGGGUGCAGGAAGGACCACCCAUUUGUUCUAGGGCGUAGAGCACCUUCUUUGGUUAUGCUAAUUGUAGUGCUUAGCUAAUCAGUCAAAGCCAUUACGUAGACAAGGGACUAUUGUAUGUGCUGAUUAAAUUUCCAUGUCGUUUUUUGUUUUUGUUUUUUGCAUUAGUGCGAUUGAGAUGCUUUUGUAUUUUGGGGGCUCUUCAUUUUCCAUGUAAAUAAUUUCUUUCAUUCUUUUUUAAAAAAAUAUACAGAAUUACUUUAAUUUAAUACAAUUUAUUAGAAUCAGUUUUCCCGCUCCUGUUGCAAACAUAUGUCCAUCAUUUCACCCCACAGCCUCAUCAUUUCUUAUUUAGUGUCCAGUUGUCAUCCAUCACUUGCCAUUAAACCAUUCUUCCAGCUGACCACUUUUUCCUCCUUACAAACAGCACCUCUGUUAUGUCUUAUAAAUAUAAAAUCCAGUUCACGUGUAUAGUCCUUCACAUACAUUUUGUUCCAGACCUGGUGUUCUGAGAGUUCAUUACUAUCUUCCAUUGUUCUGUUCUUUGCAGUGUUUAUCUGGAUGGUACAAGGCCACAUUGCAUUCCUUCCUCUGUUUACAGAUUAGCAAAGAGCUGCAGCCAUAAAUAACUCACAGGGUUCACUUCCAGGUUUAUGCUAUUAAAUUCCUCUCUGGAGUUCUUUCUCAGCACACAGUUAAGAGCAAGAUCUGAUCUUUUCUCAAAUUCAGCCUUUUUUCCACAUCUGUUCAGCUGCAGAUCAUUCUCUCCCGCUGCCCCCCCCCGUAUACCUGUGACAACACGCCUGCUCAGAAAUGAUUGUUGAUAAAAUCCAUUCAGCCUCAAUCGGGGGGGGGGGGGCAUAGCAAAACCUUAUUAAAUUCAUUCUUGAUCAUAAAUCAAAAGCCUCUCCCCUCUUUUUCAAAGUGUCAGGCAGAGUAGCUACAGCUGCAUAUGUCUCUUUCAUUGUGCAGGGAAGGUCAAGAAAAGGAAAGACCAUUUGAAAACCAUAAGAAAGCACAAUGCACCUUUACCUCCCCCUUCCUUUCUUGACUGUUGUAAAGAUUCUCAAGCUUCAGAAAAACAUUCAAAUGCCUUCAGAGAGCCAAGCACCCUCCUUUCAGCAGCUGAUUUACUGCAGCCCAUUAGCAUAUGUCAGUCCAGGAGAGCCUCUUGAUUAAAGCCAAUUGUCCAAAUUAAGGAGGAACCAUCCACAAAUCAUGCCAGUAAUGGAGGCUUAUCCAUGGCAGGGACACACUCCCAAGUCGCUCCCGCUCUGCCUUUCAAGUUGGCAGACACAAGAUUGCAUGACACUGCAGGAUGCAGUGAACUCCCCAGAUCCCACUGAGGAGCAUCGCAAGGAUUUUUGCCUCAGAAAUCCUCCUUUUUCCCUGCCUGAACUUCCUUGCAACCCAUGGAGGGCUGCAAAGAACAACCACCAUUGACUCAUGACAUAGCAGGAAACCCCAUGUAGAUCAUUUCUAGCAACUUCCCCCAAGGCCAAAAACAAACAAAUAUAAACAGCAGAACUGUUCUUUUCUUUUCACAAGUUAGCAAUGCUAUUUCAACAUCUGUUAUCUCUCACAGCCUACAAGUUCUUUCCUAUAAAAAGAAUCCCAAUGGCAUUUCCUAUAGAAUGCCAUCCCAAUGGAAUUGUAUUUUAAGGCAUAACACACACACACAUACACACACACACACAAAAUAACAUUUUACUCCAGAUAAUUGAAUCCCUUCAUCCCAUACUUUCCAAUCACUAAAACAUAUUAUAAUCUGGAGAGUAGGAACCUGGCUCAGUUGGCCUUUUUUCUGACAAGGCCCUCAUGACCCGAACACCUGCAUGGCAGGUGGUUGUUCAGCAGAUGAAGCCUUCCCCAUCUCAGUGCCAGUAAAAGGCCCAGAAGAUUCAGGUAUGCCUGCCCUGCAAAGGUGAAGAAAACGGGUAACAGAACUUGAAUCAAAACUAAAAAAAAAUCUGUUUGGAGAUUAUAUUGUUCCCCCCACCCCUAUGAAUUUGAACUGAACUUGACAUCUAUAAGGGCCAUACUUGAUGUGACAACAGAGAUGCAGGUCAGGAAGGAAGAAGCAUCCAUGUGCCUGUAAUAGCAGCCAUGGAGGGACAGUUUGAAUCAAAACAGUGGCAGCAAAGGCAGUCCACCAGCCAUGCAGGAAACAUUAUACUUUUGCUACCUUCCUGGGAUUGGCAAAACAAAUACACUGCCGGGCGCAGGGUUUGCCUUCAAUUUUGGUGGGUCAAAACUUGGAAGUUGUUCAGAGUGCAUCAGUCCAUGCCAGUUGGAACAAGUUUGCUUUUUUCUGAUCCAAAGGGUAGGACCUGAACCAAUGGAUUCAAAUUACAAGGAAGGAGAUUCCAACGAAGCAUUAGGAAUCAGUUUCUGACUGUUAGAGCUGUUGGACAGUGGAACGGUCUCUCUCAGAAGGUGGUGGAUUUUCUUUCAUUGGAGGUUUUUAAACCACCUGUCAGGGAUUCUUUAGCCACAAUUCUUGCACAGCAGGGUGUUGAACUAGAUGACACUUGAGUUUCUUUCCAACUCUAAGGUUCUAUGAUUCUAUGAAACAGGUCGGUGCUUGAACCAGUUACUGAGUAAUUUUUCAAAACUAGUCAGUUGUAUAAAACCAAGACAUGCUCAGAGUAGGUCCAUUUAAACCAGUCAAGUAUCUGAACCAGUCAGAAAUGCUGAUGAACCUGAACCAGAACUGAACCCAAAUGUUUUGCUCCUUGCUGUGGACCUUUGCCCCCACAUUCCCAUCCCCUUGCUUUUCAGCCACAUUGCAACUGUGACAUUAAAAGAAAAAAUAAAAUUGUGGCUACUAUCUCUGAGUGGGUGUUUUGUGGCUUGUGUCCUUACGCUGGUCACGCCCAAAGCCAGCUCCUGCUAUGAUCUUGGGUGGCCAUUUUGAAACCAGAUGUUGGAGCCCUAAAGAGGAAGUCCACCAGCUUGAGAGAUCUUAUCUCAAAGUCACAGAUGGCUUUGAAACAGGAAAUGAGUGCAAAACGAAUGAGCCAGCCAUCGUCCCACAGCCUAAAACAAGAGGUUUACAAAAUAGAUACUGGCAGAGGGCUGCAGCCUCUGUUUUCCUGGCAGGGCUCAUGUGCCUUUAAAAACAGCAAACAACAGGCAGAAAUUCAGUGGAUGCUAAGAUCCCUAACAUAGGCAAUGGGGUUAGGGUGAAGUGCUGGACCUUUGGCAUUUAUCUUUAUCCUGCAGAAUGGCCAGUGGUAGCAGAGCCCCGCCUGAGAAGAUGGCAACCCUGUGGAGUGUAAAAAGUGGAUGAACAAGCCACAUUGACUCAAAACAUCUGCCUGUGUUGCUGGAGAGAAUAAGUGGAUGUUACAUCUUUUAUUAUGCAUGAAGGGUCCUGUCAAAGAAGCAGCAAAACAUCACAGCAAGUUCCUGAGUCGGAGGUGUGACUGUUUACAUUCAGACUUGUUAAACCGGCCUGCGGUGGUUUUGCUGCCAUAAGAACAUAAGAAAUGGCCCACCUAGUCCAGCUUCCUGUUCUCACAUUGGCCAACCAGAUGCCCUCAUGGGAAGCCCACAAGCAGGACCUGAGCACAAGAGCAUUCUCUACUCUUGCACUUUUGAUUAACUGGCUUCCACCCUUGCCCUGCCAUAUGGGAAGAAUUUUCAAUUACCUUUUGAAGGCACACCCCCACACAAACCUUGCUUUCCGUGCUCACUAAGGUGGACCCUCCUUGUCUUCUGGAAUAUUACAAAGUGCUUCGUUUCAUUCUUGUACUUUUACUGCUAUGUUAGUAGUUUGUCCUGACAGGCGCUUUUAGUUGUAUGAUGGAUUUAUUGAUUUCUUGCAUUUAUAUCCCACCAUUUUCUCCAAGGCACUCCAGGCAGUCUACCACUGAAUGCCUGCUGCUAGAGAACCAAAAUCAGGGAAGAGAAUUCCCUUCUUGCAUUUGGCUCACCAGGGGUGGGAAGAGGCAGUGGCGGAGGAAGCCGCUCGGGCAUCUGGGACGGUGUGCCCAGGGGCGGGGCAAGCCGCCCAUAGGGAUUUGGCGCAGCGCGGGGUCUCCAGAGUCUGCCUGCCUCCUCCCACUCAGCCGCUCUACAGCUGGGGGGGCAGUGGGCUGACCACUUGGGCAGUGCACAGCCUGCACACACCCAAGCCACCGCGUCUCUCCCAGGAGAGACGCAUGGCUCAGGCAUGCUGCUGGCCCUGCUGUGAGUGCCACCCAGCAUUUUGUCACCCCCCUCAGUGGUGAUAUGCUAGGUGGACCACAUCCACUGCACCCCCCCUUCCUCUGCCCCUGGGAAGAGGGACUUGGGCUAUGGGAGACUUUGCUAUAAUCCAGCAGGGCUGUUCUUUUAUUAUUGAAACAUAUAUGCAGCAGCAGUGUGCUCUAACCUGGUUGCUGCUUGAUUUGUUCUUUGCCGAGUGACUGCCCCACAUGGGUUUCUCCAAAAGCCAAUAUUUAUGCUUGCACUCUUCCCCACUCAGUAGUAGCAUUACCUGGGGAGUACAACCUGCAUUACUGGAAGCAGUAGGAUUAAGGUAUCGAGAAGCUUCAGGGAGACAAAAGCCUCCUUUGUGACAGAGAGAGCAUGAGUGGAAUUGCACUAAUUGAGAGCACAGCUGAAAAGAAAUCAGUGGGCUUGGUCUGCUUAAAUCCUAAGGCUCAACAUCUCCACCAGCACUGUUAUGAUGAUAAUCCCUUAAUUACCAGGCACUGAGGAAGGCCUGCCUUGCAAACAAACUGAUCACAUUAGCUAAAACAUUAUUCGCCUGUAAAAGAAACCCAGCUAAGGAGGUGGUUAGAGGAGAGGGCAAGGAGGAAACCAGCUCCUCUGCAAAGAUCUGGGCUUCUCUGGCCCAGCUGCUGGGAACUGCAGUUUGGCGAGGCUGCUGAGAUCUUUUGGUUGUGCCCAGAGUUACAAAUCCCAUGACCCCAUCAGAAGAUGGGAAUAACUAAAAUACCACUUUAGGUUGUGUUGUAGAGGAAGAGGAAGAGCCCCUUUGGGUUUGCAAAUCCAUAUAAAGAUUUCUCUACUUGAUUUCUAAAAACAAGAGGGACCAGAACUGCUUUUGCCAACUUGCUGGCAGUUGCCAUAUGUUUUGCCCAGCAAGCAGUUCACAUGAUCUCCAGCCAGAGCAGUGCAGCCAGUGUUAGAAACUCAAGUUAUAUGAACUAGGUGCCAAAUGGCUCCUGAAAAUGGAAUGCUUAGUUGCCUUUUGGGGGCCGGACGGCUCAAGAGUCAUGUUUUUCAAACCUUUUUUUUUUUGCUUGCUGAAAUUCAGAUUGUGCAGAUAAAAUAUAAUGGAUAGAACUCCAUAGGAUGUGUUGUGUGAAAACAGGCAAGAUCUACAAGGCUCCCCCAAGCCUGGUGAUACCUCCUCUUUCUGCAUGGAUGGUACCAUGAUCAGAGUUCACUAUUAGUCUAGAAAGCAACUAGUCUGCAACAAAAUAUUGCAGUAAAGAGUACAAAGGAUCAAUGUUCCAGCCAGCCAGCCAGCCAAUCAAUGAAACAUUCUUUCAGGAUACUUUUCCCCCAACCCUCCCAUUCCACAUCCACCCAAACUCAGCAUUCUGUUGUCCCUGGGGAUGGGAGGAUCUGCCAGUCUCACUCCUCCUUCAGUCUCUCAUUUUCCUCAUAUUAAAUUCAGUUCCCCACAUUUUGCAGAAAUUUGCAAUUAAAAAAAAAUACUCAUGAAAAUUAAUCUGCAUUUUAGCACACAUUUCUCCUAACGAACACAUUUGUAUAUUCAGUUUUGACUAAAAGACAUAUUUUUGCAAGCAAUAUAAUGCGUUUUUGCAUUCAUUUUUUUUAUCAGUAGCUUCCUUUUUAUGCACACGUCUCCCUAAUAUAUGCAUUUUUGUAAGCACCACUUGGUUGGUGAAGCGCAUUGCAAAUUUCAGAUAAGUGCAAAUUCUGAAAAAUUCUGGGCUUUGGUUCUCAUAUUGUUUCAGAAAGUCUGAACGGAAUAGAUUCAUUUGAAAUGCAUACUGAACUGACUUUCUUAGCCAUCCCAGGUGGGCUCUGAGUAUCCCUGGACCUCAUCAGACUGGUUCUCAGGGGUAUGGGAGGGGGGUCAUAAAGAUUUGUUUGCUUUGCUGCAAACCUUGGCAGUUCCUCAAACAUGGCAAUAUCUCCCUUGCCACACCCUGCCCUGUCUCAGCUGCCUUCUCAUUGGCACUCACCAGCCGAGUUUGGUGCUGGUGUACACGGUGAUGCCAUAAUUCCAGCCACGUUCCAGGGCUGAGCCCAGGUGCAUGAGCAACGCAAACCAACCCCUGGGUUUCUCACGCUGCCUUGGCACUUUUCAGAAGUGGGUUAGAAAAAAGUUAUGUUAACCCCAUCAAUUAAAUUUUUAUGAAGCAAUUGGCUGGACUUUAAAGCCCUUGUGAGGACCUAUUUGGGCACUCUCUGCAAGACAGGUGCCAGGCAUUGGUGCAGGAGGACACCGUGUUCUCCUCCAAAGGGUUCUUCUGCCAGCCGCACUGGAAGCCAUGGGCUAAAAGCCAAGGGAUCUGCUCUUGGAGAACCCAGUCUUUAAAAGGUAAAAUCUUGCUCUUUGGUCAGAAUCGGGAAGCUGGCCUGCAGGGAGUGGGGGCUUAACUCCAGCAGUCUGCCUCUCCUUCUUAGCUUAAUAGCACUAAGUAAAACUCUCCAUCGCAAGGGAGCAUGUACAUAAGCACAUAACAUAAGGGCAUAAGAACAUAAGAAGAGUCUGCUGGAUCAGACCAGUGGCUCAUCUAAUCCAGUCUCCUGUUCUCACAGUGGCCAACCAGAUGCCUCUUCUUGGAAGCCCACAAGUGGAUCCAAGCACAAGGGCAUUCUCUCUCCUGUGGUUUCCAGCAACUGGUGUUCAGAAACAUUACUGCCUCUGGCAGCGGCUAGUAACCAUGGGUAGCUUUGUCCUCCAACAAUUUGCCCAGUCCCCUCUUAAGGCUAUUCAAGUUGGUCAUCAUUGCCUCUUAUGUGCAAAAAUUCCAUAAUUUAACAAUACAUGUUUAUCUAGCUCCUCUCCCCAUGUAAUCCAGAGGCUGUCAAUGUCAGUUAUCAUGGUCAAUACCUUUUCUUCAUAGAUGAUUUGCAACCUCAGUUUGGGAAGCACAUUGAGCGGCUGCAGGAGUUCAACAAAAGGAGCAGGAGGAUCUCAAGCAUCCAUAUCAAGUUUUGCAUCCUAAAACAAUCUCAUCCACUAUCCAAAAGCCAUUGUAUUUAACAUGAGCUUUUUUUAAAAAAAAAGAAUGCAAAUAGAAGCCACUGAGGGAGAGCUUGAUACUUACUGUGAUUGCAACUGGGGUGUGUGUUAACCCUUUCCUCCCCAGUUGUUGUCCCAAAGCUGCCAUUUGUGUUGGGAGAAAAUCCUGCUCCCGUAUCUAUAAUAUCUUGCAGCUUGAGCUUCCUUGGGCCUUAUGUGAUGUGGAGCACUGCCCAUGCUCUGCAACCUCCACAUAAGAACUCAAAGGCCUAGAUGGAGCCUGCCUUUAUGCAGCUGUGAUUCUGCUGCAAGUUUCUCAAGGUCAUGUUGGCUGAGACUGAUGGGACUUAUAGUCCUGGAGAGAACCAUAGAACUUCAAACAAAGAAAGAAAGAAAGCUGAUCCUGGAGAGUUCCUGACAAAGGGAAAGUUGGAGCUGGGGCUACAUGGACGUGGUUCAUGGUGCCAUGACAUUGUCACCAGUGAGUGUAGUAUAACUGUGAGAAUGGCUUGUUUCUCUAAGUGGUAUAGAUCUGUCUGAAGCAGCCGUCAUCCAGGUGUGAGGCAGACAACAGACUUCCUCUUAAAAUCAAAAUUGUGUUUAUGUUGUCAGUCUCCAGCCCGUCUGUCUUCACCUUCUUAGUGUGAUUGGAGCCGUAGUGACUUUCCACUGCUGUGCUUUAGACUGUUUUGGGUGGGAACAUUUCUGAUGAGGUUCGGCAGCAGAGAAUUUGCAUACAAAGUGGAAUCGCUCCUAAGAGGAGCUUAGUUUUGUCCUUGUAAUUAUGCUGUCAGCCCCACAUGCAAGAAGCCACCCCCAAUUUUCUGUGGUAUUUAAUUAAGGUUAUCCAGCAGCCUUGAUGUGUUUAGAAACAAAACCACUGGCAUCCCUAAUAAAGAUCUUCCCCAUUUUGAGCAAAGAGGAACAGAUUUCCUUCAGGUGCCCUGUUUUAUCAACCCUGGGAGCAGAAGAAGAAAUAUGUAAUUCAGAGUAAUAGAACUAUUAAAUGAACAGUAUACUUGAACUUGGGCAGAGUGAAGGAGCAGUUCCUGACAUGGUUUGCAUGAGUGCAAAGUAAUAAAAAAGGGGGGGAGGAUUAUAUCUUCAGUGUUGAUCUGAAACAUCACAAAGCUGGGGCAGAGGUGUGAAAUCUCUUCCCCUCAGCACAGUGUUAAUCCCUUUAAAUCACUUCUCUUGCUGCACAAGUACUAAGUUACAGCACAACACUGGAAAAGGCAAAGGCUGUGUUCAAUACUGUGUUUUGCGUAUUGUAAAAUCCCCUUUUAGAAAAUUAAUGGAAUAUAGGGCAAGUUUAGCCUUAAUUCCCAUGUUAUUUGACUGCAGGAGAAAAUCCAUUGGCCAGAAAAUUGUGGGAGUGAAGUGAUGAAAUUUGGGGUGGUAGAAUGGCAUGCAGUUCUUUUCUGCCAUUUUCACGGGGGAAUCAUGGGGGAACAGAGACAGGCAUGUACAGAAAAGGUGAGGAAGUCGCAAUGUUAUCCAGUGACGCUCACACCCCCACUGGUGUGAACAGAAUUCAGUGCAACAUGCCAGUAUGUUUAUCAGAAAUCCACAGCUCCACAAUGCAACAGGUGCAGCAGUGUGAAAGGAACAUUAGAAAACAAGACAUUCACAUUAUCAUCAGAAAACUAACACAAUAUUUCCCAUGUCUGAAUGCACCUUAAGUCACUGGGCUAUCCUUCACUAACCUGGUGCCUUCCAGAUGUUCUGGACUUCAACUCUCACCAGUCCCAGACAGCUGGUAGGGAAGGGUCCUUGUAGUUUAGUGGCAUAGCCCUUGUUUUGCAUGUAGAAGAUUCCUAUGUGAAAUACUGCCAGUCAGUGUCAGCAAUAGUGAGCUCGAUGGGCCAAUAGUCUGAUUUGGUAUAAUGCAGUUUUCUACACCUCUGUCUUCCUAUAGAUCUGUGAGGGCACCAGACUGGUGAGGGCUGGCCUAGAUUUCCUUGUUCCACACCAUGCUGUAAAAUGCAUUCAGAACUCCGUGGGAGGAGAUGCAAGUAUCCUAAUGUGGCCCAGGUAACACAGAGAUGCACCCACUUCUCACUGCCAACAGGACAGGGCAUCUUCCACUCACCCACCUCAAAGCACAGGCAAAGGGGAGGGCAGCUUCACUUCAGCCAAAUAGCACACUUCCUGGGGCUUGCCACUCAUUCUGACACUUGCUGGGGUUUUUGAAAACCCACCUGCCAUUAAGCUUCUGCUGUGCUUUGUAUAAUGGCUAGCUCUCUAUUUUGUCCCCUGAGCAGGGAUGGCGAGUAUAUGUCAGAGUGUGAGCACAGGCAAGGCCAGGAGUUGAAGGGAGUGUGCCAGAGCAGAAAGAGAGGAGCCAUCAGUGUCACUUUAGUGUAGCAUUACUACCAAGAGCAGGAAGCAUGAGUCACUGCCUGGCAAGUGGGGAUGCUUUUUGCACAGUGGCUCUGCGGUUGUGUUCUGGAGGAUGGUAGCACCCUGGGUAGUUGCCAGGCUUGCUUCUUUGCUUGCACAGACCCUGCCAAUGGCACCAAAAACCCACUUGAUAUUGGCAUUGUUGAAUUCCAGUAUCUCUCAAACUGACACCAGGUGGCAGACUUUUCAGAAGAUUGUGGCUUCUUUCGGGUUCCUCGGUAAUGCCUUUCAGGUCUGGCAAGUCAGCAACAGGUAAACCUUCCUUGCCCUUUCUGAUCAAGUUGCCGACUGAACCAUCCCCACAACGACCUCGUCCGGGCUGUUCCCUCCCACCCUCAGUUCAGAAAUCCAAGAGCAGUUGUGUUUUCCUUCAGAGUGGUUUUUCUGUGAGUUUGUUACCCCACAGGACAGAAACAGCAAAUCAGCAGCAGCACCAUCAUAUCAGUAUGGAUACAGUACUUUGCAGCAGGGGUGGCCUAGUGUUUUGGGCCCAUAGGCCAUAUGCAGCAAUGGUUAAUUAUUGGGGGGGGGCAUACUCCUUUUCACAUUCCAGGUAAAACAAAAAAGCCAGUCUCUAAACAAAAGAAUAAACAGACACAAAUCAGACAUCAAAAAAGGGCAGUAUUUAGAAACUAGGAGUGAAUAUUUCAACCCCAUAGGACACUCUGUCCUUCAAGUAGCCAUUUUGAAACAAAGGAAUUUCAGUGAGAAACUCUGGUGUGAUUGGUUUGUCAGGUAAUUCAGUUAUUUCCUCUGUGACUUGAAUAGAGAUUGUGGGUUUUUAAUCAUCAUCAUCAUCAUCAUUAAUUGCAUUUCUCUCUCUCUCUCUCUCUCUCUCUCUCUCUCUCUCUCUCUCUCUCUCUUUCUCUCUCUCAUGUUCUCCUUCCGCUUCCAUAAUUCCCACUCUCUCCCUGCCCUGCUCAAUGGCAAAUGCAGAAAGCAAAACCUUUGCAAAGAGGGUUAGGCAUGUAUCCUGCUGUCAGACCUGGACCUGGAAAUCAUGGACCUGAGCUUAGAAAUGUGGAGCACACAUGUAACUGGAGGCUACGCCUGCGCAGAAGCUUAUUCUCUUUCCGUAUCAUUCCCCUCUUGACUCUGGGAGACAGUGAUGCAGGGAAGCGUGGGGAUACACCUCGCCCUUCACUUCCCUGGCCUGCCUCUUCCUCCUCUUCCCCCAGCUCUGAAGCUUCCCUGGCCUCUGAUUCUUGCCUCCUGGCUGAUACAGAUUCCCACAGACCACUCUCCCUCUCUCCCAGCUACCCUUCCCCAGUGCACACUCAUCAGCAUCCCUGACAUUGACUAAUGUCAUUUUUUUUCAUUAGAAUCACAUUUCUGGCAAAUUUAACAGGUUGACAUCAUUUCCAAUUGUUUUCAUUUUUGAUUAAUUUACUGGAAUCCCUGACACCCUUCUUCUGCUUGUAACUUUGAUGUUUUCCAUCCAAACAAUUUCAUCCAAACAAUGCUACAAGGGGAUCACAACUUAGCCAAAUUUCAGGGAAAGGAGUACUCUUUAUGGGCAUUUUUUAAAAAGAGAAACACGCACAUCUUAGCUGAUGUUUAAACUCCUGGAAAUGAACAGAUACUUACAAACAGCAAAGCAAAUAACUCAGUUACAAGUUUCUGCAUUGAAUACCCAAGUCAUUGGGGGCCGGGGGGGGGGGGGAUGUGCUGACCAAAAAAACUCACUAUAAUCCUGAGGGAGCAAGAAUAAAAAGGAGAGCUUAGCUGGCAAGAUCUGUAAGCAUUUGUAUUUUAGGCUGGAUUAAGAAGCUCUGAGAGCUUGGUUAGAUUACAGAUGUUUGAGGAAUUUGAUCUUUGGCAGUUUCAGUACAAACUUGACCUGAUCUGCACUUCCUAGAUUAAUGUGUACAUCAGGACUUAAUUAUGCACCAGCUUCCACACUUCCUUUCACACAGUUCUUGGAAUAAGGCAAUUUCUUAUGUUCCUAAACAUGUAUUUAAAUAGGUACUUAAAUCUAAACGUUCACGCAGGCAUUUUUUUUAAAGAUACAGAUUCAUGAAGAAAUGGGAUGCAACAGACAUAUGGAUGAACACAUGCAGAUGUGAAAUUAAUAGCUUCAGUUUGGUUUGCAUUAAAAUGAGAGUCAAAUUUGCGCUUACCAAAACAAUGCAUGAAAUGAUGCACAGAUAUUCUUUAAAAUUCACAAGUCUUCAGAUUUUGUGGAGCAGUUCUCAAAUCAAAAGAACUGAAUCAGUAUGUGUAUAAAGAUGCAUAUCUUAGGGAGCCCAAUUUGCAAAACUGCAGUAGGGAAAGUUCUUCUUUAUUUCUUUUGGGUCUCUGAUAUAAAACAUAAUUAACUUUGUAUGACCAAGAUGACUACAGAAAUGUCACUGCCAUGGACUUCCUUGCAAGCACCAGCUAACACCUGGAAAGUUUGAAUUUCAGGUAUCAGAAGGAGGACUGAAUCUCUGCUCCUGAUCUGUACAAUCUGAGUUACUUGAAAACUGGGAAACAAUGUAAGACAUUUCAGGGAGUGGGCAGGAGUAGCUGCCAAGGAAGGAGAGGGGUGCAAAUCCAGCCACGGCCACCAGCAGAGAAAGCUACACCCACAGAAACCACUGAGCAAAGAGAAAAAGGAUGGAAUUGAUCCUGCGGUGGCUUUUCCUUCUCCACUGUAGAAUUCCACAAAAAGCUACUUAUGCCAACUGGCUGUGCUACAGUUUUCUCGUUCAGACUUCACAUCAGUCUUCCCUAACCUGCUGCCCUCCAGAUGUUUUGGACUACAAGUCCCAUCAGCCCCAGCCAGCAUGCACUAGCUGGGGCUGAUGGGAGUUGUAGUCCAAAACAUUUGAAGGGCACCAGGCUGAGGAAGAGAGCCUUAGUGGCUGGCAAUACUCCAUCUUCACUUGAGUGGAUUAGGCUUUAUGGCUGAACCACGGAAUUUUCACCGACCUCCUGUCCUGUUUUAUUUUACCAAAAUAAAUAAACAAACAGCCCAGCAGCCUGUAUCUAUUGGACAUGAUUCUGGCCUGACCAGUUGUGAAACUUUACUCCAACCCAUGAAAGCCACACACACACAAACGUCCUGCCAAGUUAUUUAAACCCCUGUUUUCAUAGCUUACAUGCCAUUCAGAAUAGUUUGCAUUAUUUGAGCACAGAAUCAACAGACAUUUAAAACAACUUGGGUUACUGAAACCCCAGAGGAGGUGCUUGCAUUUUAGCUGUUUGCUCUGCCUCCUGGCUCUGCAAGGGAAUUGAGUAACCACUUCCUCCUCUCUUCUUCCAGAUGCCAGGAUGCUCUGGGACUGAUGGGUCCAAAGCUUGGUGUGAAGGAAAUAGGGUGCAGCCAGGACUAAACCUUUGGGGCUGAAACCCAUGAGAACAUAAGAAGAGCCUGUUGGAUUAGGCCAAUGCCAUCCUGUUCUCACAGUGGCCAGCCAGUUGCCUGUGCAAGCAGAACCUGAGCAGAGCACAAGAGCACUUGACAGUGGAGGCGGAGCAAAGCCACUGUGGCUAAGCCAUUGAUAGCCAUAUCCUCCAUGAAUUUGUCCAAUCCACCUUCAAAGCCAUCUAAGUUGGUGGCCUGCUGAGGGAGCAAGUUCCAUAGUUUAGCUAUGUGCUGCAUGAAGCAUUACUGUCUUUUGUUUGCAUCUUCCAACAUUCAGCUUCACUAGAUGUCUCUAGUGUCACGAGAGAAGGAGAGAAGUUUUCCACUAUCCUCAGUAUGAUUUGUGGGUCCUUUCUUAUAGGCCCUUUUGCAGUAAGAAGGCCAGCUCUCUGCCUCUUUGUCCCCUCCCAAGCACAUACAUAUGCGUGAGCCUCUUUUCCAGUUCAACUUCUAUCCAUCUUCCAUUAUAAAGAAAUUAUGCCCUUGGUAUGCCUUCCCCCCCCCCUUCUCAGUUUGAUUCCCUGGCACCAUAUCUGUAUAAAUUAACUAUCCCAAAAUACAGACGCGCCUUCACACUGGCCAGAUUGGAUGUGAUGCCCUCUGCCGUACUUGAGGGCAGAUACCAAAAGAUUCCAACUGAGAAACGACUCUGCCCCUGUGGAGAUGGUGAUCUGGAAACAGUGGCUCAUGUUCUCCUGUCCUGUCCCCUUUAUAAAGUUCUGAGGAAUGAGAUCAUUACCCCACUCUUACCUACCAUCCCAGGCCGCCCAUCUGAGGCCACAUUGUUCUUUCUUUUAUCAGAUCAAAAUGAUCAGACAACAGCAAAGGUUGCUAGGUUUAUCGAGGGUGCAGUGAGAUUAAGGGCCACUAUCUGAACGAUAUUCUUGGGCAUCUGAUUGCCCUUUUUACCCAUUGCUAUCUUUUUUAUUUGUAUAUAUAUUAUUUGUAUAUAUUGCUUGUUUUAUGUUGCUAUGGCCGUUGGCUAAUGCGAAUAAAGUUUGCCUUAUCUUCUUAUCUUAUCUUAUCAUCUUAUCUUAUCUUAUCUUAUCUAUCUUAUCAUCUUCUAUCCAUCUGGUUGCUCUUCUACUUUGCCAAAGUCUUCUGCUUAAAACUCGCCCAGGACUGUCUGCCUGCCAGCUCCUGUGCCACUAGAAACCUCUGCUGCUUUGGAGCAUUAUCCAGAUCUGCUCACACGAUACUUCCCUGCCUUGCCUAAUAGUUUAGAUUAAGCAAAUUGUGUGUCAAAAGGACACUUGCUUAUAAUUUAGGUGCCCUUUUCCUUGCCUGUCUGAAAUUUUGCAGGUGCUGCCCCUGAGAUGAUUGUGAUAAAAUGUCAUGCCAAUUGGACUGAAAAUGUUGGCGAUAUGGGCAGCAGAAAUGGAGCUGGCUCUCCUAUUAAAAUCAAUGGGGAUUAAAAUGAAUUGGAGCGACCAAGAAGGACAAAAUCUCAUGCCAAAAUGAAUGCCCUUCUAAUGAGUGAAGGUUUCAAAAACGAAUUUGAAUGAGAAACAAAACAAAGCAUUAAUUGAGUUUCACACCCCAUUAAUCUCUGCAAAGAGGGAAGCUGAAUUCCAUGUGUUCUGCCAAGAGAUCCCAUUUCUCAAAUUCAGGGAAAUGUGCAUCAUUGGGUAGCAGACUCUGUCUUAGCUUGCCAUCAUGUUUGAAAAUAUUUGGCAAAAGCUGCUCAAACAAAGCAGCACUAGGCUCACUGUAUGGGAAACAGUGAGAGCCAAAUCUUGAAAGAACCUGGAGUCUCUCCUCAACUGGUGGCUGCUGCUAGAUGCCAAUCCUUAGCAUACUGUUAAUACUCUGCUACAAGAGUUACAACUGAAGCCGGGAUUAGCUUUGCUGCAUGUGCUCCUCAAUGAUUCUGGAGCAAGCUUUUAGUGACUUUUCAACACUGGCAAUAUAAUAUAUUUUAAUUUAAUAUAUAGAUAGCAUUUUCUAACCUGUUUAGUUGUACUGCUUACGUAGGUGCCAACUCCCUGGGUCACUGGGUGCACAAGCACCCACAAAAUUCCCCAUGAAGGGGCCAGGCACCCACAAAUUUUGGUGCCAGGACCAUGCACACUGCAUGGCACCCACAGCCCCAGGCACCCAGAGUCACAGGGCCAAGCUGGCACUCCUACUUAUAAUAUGCCUUUAUUUCUUUAAUUAACUCAUGGAUUUAUUUCUUUUGAACCAGGCACAAAUGAAGCUUCCUUAUUUUGAGAAGACAGUAGGUAGAACAGUUGGAAUUAUGCUUCCUGUUAGGUCCUGCCUUUCUCCCUACAGCCAUUUUUCUUUUUCUUUUUUAAUGGUGUCUAUGUGAGAAUUUUUACGAAGUUAAACUAACUCCAGUACUUUCCCUUGAAAAUAAAGGACUCUCUCUCUCUCUCUCUCUCUCUCUCUCUCUCUCUCUCUCUCUCAUUCUUCUUCCAAGAAUAUGUUCUGUAAUUUUCAGAUCCUCAUUGUUCCACAAAAAUAUUGCUAAUGGCAAAAUAUGUCUUCCAAGGUUUGAGGGAUUUUAUAACAAUUGGCAGAGUGUCUCGAUCUAUAAUUGUUUUUGGACCAAUUUACGUGUCUCUGAACUGCCAGACUUCACCAAGGAAGUUGAAUGUAUUCUUUGUGCUGAUAAUUUUACAAUUGUUGGGGCUGUUCUGUCCUGGUAGAAUUUAGAUGUCAGGCUUAGGAUAUUGGGGGGGGGGUUUCCCCCCCCCCCCGGGGAACUGACUGCUGCAGCUUCCAACAAAAACAGAGAUGGCUGAUUAGAAUCCUGCAACAAAGACCAUUGAAUAGCACCAGUCCAAUGAAUUUUACACCAGUAUCAGCAACAAGUUUUAGCAAAGCAAAGUUAUGGUGCUAGUGGCCAAAAUAACAAUCACCAAAGUGUCAACAGCAGCAGAGCUUGGAUGCUAUAGACUCCCUCUGGCUGAAAGGUGACACAGACAUAUGCCCAGUUUAGGAGAGAAGGUGGUUUGAUGCUCUUUAACUGACAUGUACUGAGGCUCUGAAAUGGCUACAGAGUUCAGGACUGUCUGCCAACUCCAAUUAUGGGAGAUGGCAGAAUCAAAGGGGUGGGCUAUUUGCUCAUUGGCUUGAGAGCAUUUGCUAUUUGUUCUGCUCCACUCCAUCCAUCCGGCUCCACCCUGAGCUGCCAGGCAUUAACUUCUGCAUCCAGCAGGCCCAACUAGGCUGAGAGGGCAGGAACCCCUGUAACCUAAGCCCUCAGUGGAGCAGAAUUUCUCUACAAUGGAAACAGACCAAGACAUACCAUUAGGCAGGGUGCAGCCACCUCCUCAGGCAACUGAUACUGAAGGGUAGGAUGUGGCAGAAAGGUGAUGGAGGACAGCUCUGCGUGUGCCACGCAGCCUGCACUGUAUCUUGUAAGCCAGCCGGCCAUCCUCAGUGGCUGUGGAGAAUGCUGUCCCAUCCCCAGUGCUGAAAUUAUGUUGUUGUUGUUGUUGUUGUUGUUGUUGUUGAUGAUGAUGAUGAUAUCCCACCUUUCCAAGGAGCUCAGAAUGGUAUACACAGCUCCCCCUUCCCCAUGUUAUUCUCAUAAUAACCCUGUGAGGUAGGUUAGGCAAAUAAUGGUGACUGGCCCAAGGUCAGCCAGUGAGCUUCAUGGCUGAGUAGGGAUUUCUGAUCUCCCACAUCCUAAUGUAUCACUCUUGAGAGUCAUGAGAGUCCCAUGGACUGCAAGAAGAUCAAACCUAUCCAUUCUUAAGGAAAUCAGCUCUGAGUGCUCACUGGAAGGACAGAUCCUGAAGCUGAGACUCCAAUACUCUGGCCACCUCAUGAGAAGAGAAGACUCCUUGGAAAAGACCCUGAUGUUGGGAAAGAUGGAGGGCACAAUGAGAAGGGGACGACAGAGGACAAGAUGGUUGGACAGUGUUCUCGAAGCUACCAGCAUAAGUUUUGACUAAACUGCGGGAGGCAGUGGAAGACAGGAGUGCCUGGCAUGCUCUGGUCCAUGGGGUCACAAAGAGUCGGACACAACUAAACGACUAAACAACAACAACAACAACAAUAAUGUAUCACUCCAACCACACUAGCUUUAGCCUGGUCAGCUCCUGAACAUGAAACAGGAGGGACACCAUCUUGCCCCAGCCAGCAAUAUGCCUUGAGACAGCGCUGAAGGGAAAGCAAACCAAACUAUCAGUUUGACAGUCACAAAUAUUUGUAACUUACCAUGACUUCUUGUGGCAUGUUUGAAAUGGUUCAAAUAAUCUGUGGGGGUUUUUUUAUAUAAAAAAAUUAGUCUUGAACUCAGUAUGUUUUGAUAGAGGCUCGGUUUUGAUAUUGCUAAAUCUUCAUUUAAAUCGGUGUUUGCAUGUAGCCAAACAUAGAUGAAUAUCUGCUCCCUGAUCUCAGAAAUCAUCAUGUUAGUUAUGAUAAUUUAAGAGGUGUCCAAAUGGAUAGAAAACAGACAGGUAACUUCUAAAAUAUGUAGUAGAUUUAGUUUGUUAAUUUAUAAUUUAUUUGUUUCAUUAAUUUAUAUACCACUUCACAUUUCAACAAAAAUCUCUAAGCAGUUUACAAUUUCCAAAAAAAAGGGAAUCAUAUAAAAAUACAAUACCAACUCUACAUUCAAACCAAACAGUACUACUACCACCAAAAUGUUCCUAAUCAUAAUAAUCCUCAUCAUUUGAGGGGUAUGGUGGACUAAAUGACCAGUGGGGAUCCUUCCAAUUUACAAUUCUAUUAUUCUAUUAAGUACAAUCAUAAUAUGAUUCUAUCAAUCCAAUAUUUGUUGAGGGAUGAUACUCCUGAAACUACCAAGAUUGUUUCAGGGUAUUUAGCCGAGAUCUUUAAAGCUAAAGCUAAAGUUGCCUGAUUUAUUCAAUGGUGGCUAUCUAGUCUUUUAUAUAUUGUAUGUGUUUGGAUUAUCAAUGUAUUUGGAUGACUUUGUAUGAUUUUAUUGUUUAAACAUAUGCCCAUAAAGGCCAAUAACAAUACCAAUAUUAAGUAAUAUAACUACCGUAUUUUUCCAUGUAUAAGACUAGGUUUCCCCCCUAAAAAAUAAUGUCAAAAAUUAGGGGGCAUCUUAUACUCUGGGUCAUCUCCUCCCAUUUUCUUAAAUCUGAGUCCCCCAAAAUAGAGAGCAUCUUAUACAUGGGGGCGUCUUAUAGACGGAAAAUACUGUAUAUCUAAACAAUGAACAUUAUGUAAAAGAGAGAAGAACCACCCAAAAAUCAUACACAAAAUCAAAAUUUAAUACGCACAAAACAUCAAAACACAUGCACAUAAACCCUGCGGUUUUGUCUGCUUAAAAAAAAGAAUUCAAUUUUGAUUUUGAAGGAAUAACCUCUCCCUCUGCUCCACUUUAUCACAAACCGUUCUACUUAGGGAGUUGGUAGCGAGAAGAGCAGCAGUGUUUAUUCUUCCAGAGAAAGAGGGAUUUGAUCAGUGUCCAAAUUCUUAUUAUGCCGAGAGAGUGAUGACAGGGGCUUAGGAACAUAAACAGAUGUGUGGAGAAGGUGCAGGUUUUAAUUGACACCGGCUGAAAGGAUAAUUGUACCUUCCACAGCAUCCUGCACCCCUGCUCUGCCAGCUCUUCACCACAAGCACUUGGACGCCGCUGCUGCCAGGAUGCAGAUCCUUCGUUUGCUCCUGACAAUUUUGCUUAAUUGACUGCCGAGCAAAAGCAGCUGUCUGAGCUGGGCCGCGAGUGAUGCAAGGCCCAGGUGCCGGCAUCUCCAGGAUACCAUAAACUCAGUCUUAUCCUUCUCUGCGGAGCUUUGAUUUGCUGGACUGCACUUGCUGAGCCUGACGGUUCCCCUGUGCAAGGAUGAGCACAUACAGAGCACUCCUUUGGUGUUAGAUUUUCCUGUCCUGUUGUGCACCCUUUGUUAAUUGAAAAGUGAUCGGCAGAGGCUGGUUUCCUCCCAAUAACGAUUAUUCCAAAACAUAACUCGGUAUUGCAACAGGGCGUCUUCCUCUCUCCAUCAAGGAAGGCGAUGGUUCCAAUCAGGUCACCUACACCUCACAUUUUAGUUUAUAAAAUGGUGCAUGGCGUGCAGAAAGUUGCUAGGGGAAAGUUUUCCCUCCCUCUCUCAUAACACUAGAACUUGUGGACAUCCCAUGAAGCUGAAUGUUGGAAGAUUCAGGACAGAUAAAAGAAAGACUUCUGCAUGCCGCACAAAGUUAAAUUGUGGUUCGAGGACCCGAUCCCCGCUUUGAGGAAUAAAAACACGUGGACACAGUGUAUAAGGUUAAUGGGCAAGAAAAGGCCACAACUUUAUUGAUUACAGCAAGUGAGAAGGUAUUGGCUUAGGCAUUGGACCAUGGAAGAUUGACUCCACCCACUCGGAGAGGGGUGAGCCUAAAGAGGGGUUAUUCACCAGUAGGGGGAGCCUGUUGGUGCUAAUACAACUAUAAGCUCUCCCCUGAUGUCACCGAGGGUCAUGCCAUGGCCCCCCGCCACACAGGCAUCGGACAGGAUCCACGACCGCCAGAUUCCUUUAACAGAAUACCCAAAUUUGAAGGGGUAGGUGAUGGCCACACCUUGCCCUUCCACACACCAACAACACAUUCCAGUGCCUAACCGCCAAAUACCAAGGAAGUUGUGACGAUUGCUACGAGGUAGGCGAAAAAACCAAAAGGCCUAAUGCCAGUUGGAAAAAUUCCUACCAGGCCCCCUGGGCGACCAACCAUAGGUCCAUAGCAAGGUCAAGAGAAAAGCUAAGCCCUAAGCCCUAAGGGAGUGGUGGGUGGGUGAUUCGCGGUGAAAAGGUGAAGAAAUGGGCAGAAUGGCUGGCGCGGCUGUAUCUUAAACAGCAAACCACGCCUCCACCAAGCCACCCGGUUGGGUGCCUACCUGUGGGCGUGGCGCACCAGCCAGGUGAGUGGGGCAGGGGGCAAAAUGCCCCCUGCGUGAUGCAGAAAUCGCGUCCCACCCACAACACCUCCCGUCCGAGAGGAGGAGAGGCCAUGUGGAACUCCCUCCUGCAGGUGGCAAUGAUGGUUACCAACUUGGAUGGUUUUAAAAGAGGAUUACACAAAUUCAUGGAGAAGGAGGAAGAGGAGGAGGAUGUUGGACUGGAUGGGCCACUGGCCUGAUCCAGCAGGGCUCUUCUUAUGUUCUUAUGUUACUUACAGCCACAGCAGGCGAUGCAACCUUCCAACAGCUUGACCUCACCCCCAAAGGCACACCCCUCCAUUUGCUUCUGAGACGGAUAAAUGCCAGCAUGACCGUGAUGGAUUUCCAACUGAUAUAUUAAAUGGUCUUAGAUCAGCAAGGCAAAGAAGAAGCUAAAAAAGCGUUUCCAUGGAAGAACAUAAGGAAUAAUUGCAGAGGAAGCAGGCAAGGCGGGGAAUACCGUCCGAUGCUGCCACCAACUCUACGGCACUCUUCAUCAACCUGUGGCCUCCAGAUGUUCUGCACUACAACUUCCCUCUGCCCUAGUCAACAUAGCUGUGUGGACUGGAACUGAUGGUAGUUGUACUGAUGGGGCCUGUUCGACAGUGGAGUUUUUAAAGUAGAGGUUGGAUGGCCAUCUGUCAUGGAUGCUUCAGCUGAGAUUCCCUUGGCUCCCUCCCAACUCUACGAAUCUAUGAUUCUAUUUCAAAACAGCUGGAGGGCACUAGUUUGGUAAAUAUUAUUUUCAGCGCUAUAAUGUUAUACACAGGCCGCCAUCCUAAACACACACAGGAUAGAAUAAAUUUUGAGGGACUCUGUGCAUAUAGCUAAACCAUAGAAUUUGCUUCCACAAGAGGCAGGGGUGGCUUUUGGGGUGGGCAAACUGAGCCACCACACAGGUUCCCACACUUUGGGUGCUCCAAAAGUGGUACAAAAUCCUGCCUGCCUCCUUUAUCAUCAGUCAGUCUCAGUCUGCCUUGCCUUUAAACCCAGCAGCAUAACAGGCAAGCAAACCUUCCCUACAGAAACACAAGCAGAAGCCCUCCUCCUGCCCCUCCGCCUUAAGCCAGACCCAUGCACAUCGCUAGUAUGCCAGUUCCUCGGCCAAGAGCUGCCCUUAUGGCCCAUUCCUGCACAAGGCCAACUGCCCUGUUCAUUCGAGGCAUCAGGAGGAGGAGGCUGCCAUUUCAUUCUAGCAAGAAGGGAAAACAGAAAAGAAGCUCUUGUUUCACAAUGAAAUCUCAGCAGAGUGGAGCAUUUUCCACUGGCUCUGACUAGAAGCUGAAGAAGAAGUGGGUGCAGAUGUCACUGGAAGACAAUUCAGUUGUUGGACAGAAUAAGGCUGGGGGAAGGCUGGAUCUCCAGCCUCCAGUAGGGUUGCCAUAUUUCAAAAAAUGAAAAUCUGGACACAAAGGUUUUUGAGCUUUUAAUGCCACAUACCAAUGCAAACGUCUAUGCCCAAAGAAAACUGUAAUUCUAGACACAUUUGAGAGUGAAUCCUACUGAAUGUAGUAAGACUUGCUUCUGAGUAAUGCAUGUAAUUGCACCAUUUUCUUCUGACUGGGAUGUGCAGCACUGGAUUUUUAGGGAAGAGGCUAUUUCUGCAUUUCUGUCAUGCAUUUGAUAUUUAUUGUUGCAAUCAGAGUACCAAAAGUAGAGGUUGCAUGCAAUUAACUGCCUUCUCAUUUUGAGCAAACAAAGAUGACAUCAAGUUAAGGAAUGAAGCUCAAUAAAAAUGCACAGCUUUGACAGUCCUUCAAUGUAUUUAUGAGUAUAAUAUUUAAGGUAAAUACCCCAAUUUAUGUGUAGUACUUCACAUUGUUCUCACUGCACAUGUUAUAGUUGCAACUGGUGAGAGGUCAUUUUCAAAGCUGAAAUUCAUAAAGCUUUAUCUGUGCUCUUCUAUGUUGCAAGGGCCUGUACUAGGAUUAGACAUGAUUUCAGCUGAACAUAAAAUUGGGAGAGGUUUGGAUUACAGUGAUUUGAUUGAGAACUUUGUGUCCAAAAAGGCUCAAAAAAGUUUAUUGCUUUAAACAGGGCACCAGAGAAUUGACUCGUAAAUGACUGAUUGCUGUACCAUUAUUUAUCAGUGAACUGUCUAUCAUCAGUCCAACAUAUAUCUCUCCUACCACGAUAUCCUACAGUGAGCUUUUUAGGGUUUGCUUGUUUUGGCUAUUUCUUUUAUUUCAUUUUUAGAAUAUAUUUUAUUGUUUGGGGCUAUUUCUAUUCACAUAAGUGCAUCACAUAUGAAGAUAACAGCUUGUUUCUUUUUUGCUUAUGACCUGUAUUCACGUAUUUACAAUGUAGUGCUGAUAUAACGUAUUAAGUAAUAUUCUCUACUCCAGUUGUAUUAAAAGUUGACCAUAAUGAAUGUUCUAUGAUACCUUUAUCUAUAAUUUGUCUCAAGAGUAAUUGGGAGUUUUGUUUUGCUUUUCAAAUUUUAAAGCUUUCAGUGAUCAUUGCCACAUUAACAUAGGUCUUGUCAGUCAUACACACCCACCCACACACCCCAAACACACACACACCGUGUGGUCACUGAACAGGCACUGUCAGAUGUGGGACUGCACCUAUUUUGUGGCUUGUUUAUGUAACAGUCUCUGACUGAUAUUCCUGUUCCCCUGAAUGCUGUUGCUGACUGGGGUCUAAUUUUAGAUUGCCCAGCCCUGAUCAAGCUGUUUGUCUCAAAGUUGAGACUUCUAGGUUUGCUCGAUUUGACCUCCUGCCAUGCACAGUUAAGAUUUCCUCUGCUGUCUGCCCCCUCCUUACACGGCCUCCUCUCUCAUUCGUUUUUGUCUUGCUAAUUAUGUUAAAACUGUUUCUGCCAUCACUUUCGGCUAUGGAACUUUGCAGAUGUGGAGGAUAGAUAACCCCUGGUGGGGGUGGUCUUACUACCCGGGCUUCUUUCUUUUAAUUGAUGCAUCAGAUAAGCAGCCUCAGAAGGUGCUGGUUUUAUAAUAAAUGGUCAUUGUCUUCCUUUCUCCAUAGAAUGUGUGAUAGGAAGCAAUCGACCGCAGAAAAGAGCUGCCCUCCUUUGAUUUUGCUGUGGGUCUCUCCACAGGAAACGUUGCACAUUUGGGUCAACCAGGAUAAAGAGCGAUGGCUUCCUCUUUUCAGAAAUCGUCGCAAACCAGAACCCCUCCCCAGGAAAAGAGGUUUGCGAUUUUUACAUAAUGUUGCAGCAGAAGUUGCAAGGGGAAAGUUUGCUCCUUUUGCUCCUUUUCUUUUCUUUUUUACAGAACAGGUUGUGAACUUGAGGGCUCUGACCACAGAUCAGUUAUGUAUCAUAACAGGAAAGAUGAGAGCCAAGAUAUUUCCCAACCUUCAGAGAGAGAGAGAGAGAGAGAGAGAGAGAGAGAGAGAUGACAAAAACCAGGACUGCAAAUUCAACCGACAAAAAAUAUUCAGAAAUCUUUCUCUGGAUUUCUGGACAAGAUCUGCCAUGGUCUCUGUGUCCUCCAGCUAUAAUGUGUGGGGCAGGCCUGUGCAAUGAAGCUAGAGGAGAGCCAUGGGGGUAAUGUGGCAUUUGGUAAAAUAUCAUUGAAUUGUAGAGUUGUAAGGACCCUGAGGGUCGUCUAGUCCAACCCCCUGCAAUGCAGGAAUCACAGCUAAAGAAUCCCUGACAGGUGACCAUCCAACCUCUGCUUAAAUACCUCCAGCGAAGGAGGGUCCACCACCUUUCAAGAGAGUCCAUUCCACUGUCAAACAGAUCUUAUAUUCAGAAAGUUCUUCCUAAGGUUUAGUCAGAAUCUCCUUCCAUGUCAUUUGAAUCCAUCAGUUUGGGUCCUACUCUCUGGAGCAGCAGAGAGCAAGCUUGCUCUAUCAUCCACGAGACGGCCCUUCAGAUAUUUGAAGAUGGUUGUCAUGUCACCUCUCAGAUUUCCCAUAAGAAGUCAAUGCUUUUUAUUCAUCCCUUGAUCACACCUUCAGGGUGCUUAUUUAUUUAUUUGAAUAAAAAUGUCCACAAAGAGGAGCCACAGUUUUGGAGAGCAGAGAACAAUUAAGGCCAAACCAGGCGUGUUUUGUUCAUGAAUUAGAUUGCCCCUUAGCAAGGGAUGGGGAGGAUCUGACCAAAAAGUGUGAGGAAUGCUGAACCCUCCCCCGCAUCCUUCCAUUUCCCUCCCCGGCAAUCUUUCACCUAAACUUCAUCCUCCGCAUACUCCAAUGCCGGAAGAGAGCCAAGCUGGAAUGGAAGCACUGGAAGCAUUUCUGCUGCAUGGAGGGAAAGAAGGGGAAAAUCCUGGGCAAAGGCUGGCACACUGGGCUCAUGUGUCACUUCUGAGCAGUCCCCAACCAAACGAUCUUGGGGGGCAGAGGCUCGCAAUGCACCUCAUUCACUCACCAGAGCAAAGAGGGUCCUGGUGUCUCAGCAGGUAACACCAUUGCUCCUGCUCUGAGGAAAGUGCUAGAGUUGCCUUCAUCUCCAUGAUUGCUUUUCAUCAAGCACAUAAUUAUGGAAUUCACUGCCACAGGAUAGAACGCUAUCCUGUGCCAACAAAUCAGAGGGUAGAUGGCUGCCUAUUAACAGCUAUUAGCUUUGAAGACUAAAUAGAACUGCCAUGUUCAUUGACAGUAUACCUCCAAGUACCAGGCACCAGAAACAAACAACAAGAGGGGUGAAGUCCUUCCUGCUCUACUUGGACACAUUUUGAGGUAUCUGGUUGGCCACUACUGUGGGUAAAGGUGGAAUGAUCUGUCCAUUUUAGUUCUCCCAGUUUCUCAUUUUUCAAACCUUAAAUUCCAGUUAUCUGAAAUUUAUGGGGGGGGAGGUAUUUUAAACCUCAUGAAAAUUCACCUGCAUUUUAGUGCAAAUUUCUCUUAACAAACACAUCUUCUAUUCAGUUUUAACUAAUAUGCCCAUGCUUGCAAGCAAUUUCCCCCAAUGUGUUGCAUUUCUGCAUGUUAUUUUUGCUACUACCUUAAUUUUAGUGCACAUUUCCUCCAAUAUGUGCAUUUUUGUAAACACUGUUCAGUUGGAGAAUUGCAUCACAAAAUUCAGAUAAGCGCAAAUUUCAUAGGAGAGUUGUGUUUUGAUUCACACAUUGUUUCGGAAAGUGUGCAUUUGAUAAAUUGGCUUUUAAAUGUGCCCUAAAUUGAAUGCAUUCCCCAUCCAUACUGCAGGAAGGAUAGUAAACCAGAUGGACCCUUGGUUGAACCAGCAGAGCUCUUCCAGUGUGGUUCUUCAAAUCGUCUUCGUCAAGCUGCGUAAAUGCAGCCCUCUUCUCUUCUCCAGUUGUGGCAUUCUGAGAUCCCUAGAGGAAGGAAGGUAAACAUCCCCAAAUGGCUGCCUUGCCACCUCUUUCUCACAAGAAAGCCAGAACCAUGGGUCCUUUUCCAGUGGCUUAAUCCUCUCUCUUUUUUCUUCUUUUCAUAACAGCAGUUAAACCAUUGUUUUCAGUCUGGUGGAAAUAACUUAGUAUUUCCCCACUGAGGAGGCCUCCACCUACACACACAAAUUCCACGGAUCACAUCUGGGCAAGGCAAACCACUUCUCUACAGUCAAUGAGGGAUUUGCACGUGGGAAGUUGCUUGCAAACACUGGCUCUCCUCCAACACAACUUCAAGCACAGUUCAACCCAUUGGAAUCUGUCUGGUGGAGCACGCUAACUCUGAACUAGAUUGUGAUCACCAGGAAGUAGAGGGGUGCACAUAAAGUUGUGGCAUGUCUACUUGGAAGCAACCCCACUGAGCUAAAUGGGACUCACUGCCCCUUUACCCAACCUGGUGCCCUCUGGAUGUUUUGGACAGCACUCCUGUCACAGAGUUGCCAUGACCCCAGAGUCUAGCAGCAACCAAGAGUUCUGGGCUGUGGAAUCAUUGGCAAAGGAGCCAGAGCAGGCUCUCAUUUUGUUCUUAUGGCAAGAUUCCAGAGCACUGGGAGCCAUAGAGCUAGAGUCAGGACCCUGGCAGGCCGCUUCACCUGGGCUCAAGGAACCUAGUGCCAACUUACCUCACCAGGGAGUGUGCCAGGCCAGGGGGCACAGAAGACGUGCUCAUCGGCAGUUCAGGGGCUUGGUCCUUUAACGGUGGUAGUUCUCAAAGAGGAGGCUGAGCCUAGGAGUGGUGGACCAGAGGUACAGGCCCCAAAGGCCUCAGUCCAACUCUAGCCUUUGCUGGAACAUGUUGUUCACUCUCCCUGUGGGCUCCUCUGAAGGUCCAGAACAGGACACACCACCAUGCUGUCAGAAGGGACUGAUGGUGUAUCAUGAGUCUGACGGAGGGCACCAUGUCAGGUUAUACUGGUCCCUUGGAUUGCAGUCUAAGUGAUGAUCCAAAAGAUCUAUCUCUUCCCAUCAAUGAACCCUUUAGGUUGCCUCUCUCAUCGGAAGGAUUUGGAUAAUAUGAACCUGUUCAGAUUCUACUGCAUCCCGCUGAUCUAUGUGUGAGCAGUUUGGUGCUAGGGAAAAUGAAAGAUGGCAGCCAUUGCUGCAUCCUGUGCUCUUCUGUGAGUCCCCAGAUACCACCCAUCCUGCUCCUGACACAUCUAGACCACUUGCACACUUAUCUGAGCAGAUGAGCCAGCUGCAGCAAUCUAACCUGCUGGGUGUUUGCAAAACACUCUUGUGUGCCAAAUAAUGCUUUGUAUUAGCACUAGUUUUAUCUGCUUAGGCUUCCUGGGAGUUGCUUCUCUUGGUUAAUGUAAGAAGCAUGGCACAGCCUUGCUUCUGUUUUCUGUGAUUCACUCUGUGGCCUAACGUUGUAGCUAAGUAACUCUGAGCUUACAGGGCAGAGCCUUUACCAGAUCAAUCAUUUCUACCCUGCCUUUCAAUGUACUGAUUACAUGGGGGACAGACAAGGCAGUUCUUGGGGAAGCCUCAAAGCAUCUCCUUGGGUUCCAGUCACCCCACCCCAUGUUGUUCUUUCAUGGGACCUGCAGGGAAUCCAAGAGAAGUACACCAUCCCCACAUGAGUGUGUUGCUGCCUGGCCCUCGGAAACUCUCCAGGGCGGCUUGUGACAUACUCUCUGCUCAAUGUAAACAGUUGCGUCAUCUUCCAAGCUAGGAAGCAGAUACCCCUAAGCAGGCUGAGUUGCCCAUGGUCACCCCCACUUUUUCCAUAGCCCAGAUAGUAGAGCAUGAAACUCUUGAUCUCAGGAUUGUGAAACCCACAUUGGGCAAAAUGAUUCCUGCACUGCAGAAGGUUGGACUAGAUGACACUUGUGGUCCCGUCCAACUCUGCAAUUCUGUGAUUCCCAGGGUUUGAUCUCAAGUGAGGGGCCUGGUGUCAUGGAGCAGGCCAAAGUUUAAAUUUAAAUUUAAAUUUAAAAAAGAAAGGUACUUUUCGUGUUUUUCAAUGCUUUCCAUUUUAUUUUUCUUGCCUUGCCUUGCUUUGUUGUUUUCUGCCCUGGUUUUAUUCUGUGAACCGCCCUGAGACCCCCAGGUAUAGGAUGGUAUAGAAAUUCAAUAAAUAACAAAAGCAGCAACAACAACAGCAGCAAUAAUAAUCCCAAAGAAAGGAAAUACAUAGGAAUCUGCAUUACACCAAAUUAGGCUGAUGAUCCUUUGCAGCUCCUGGAUUUCAUUUGCUCUUCCCGUGCUGCUGAGUCUUUAACAUUUGUCUGCUUUAAUAAAGUUAUUACUUAUUUUAUUUAUUCUUUCAAUUUUUAACCCCACAUUCUUCCAAAGAGCUCAAGGUGGUGUAUGUGUUUCUUCUCCCCACCCUCCAAUUUAUCCUCACAAUAGCCCUGGGAGACAAGUGAG